rnacentral:misc_RNA from 1 species
UUUCCGUAGGUGAACCUGCGGAAGGAUCAUUCAUAAUAAAGUGUUUUAUGGCACUUUUUAAAAAUCCAUAUCCACCUUGUGUGCAAUGUUAGAUCUCGUCAAUCUUGGCGAGAUUUUUAUACAUCAACUCAUUCUUUAACUAAUUUGUCUGAAAAAUAUUAUGAAUACUUAAUUCAAAAAACAACUCUCAGCAACGGAUAUCUUGGCUCUU